rnacentral:tRNA from 1 species
ACAAGAUGUAGCUUAACUAAAGCCCCCCGCUUACACCGUGGAAAUACCUGUUCAACUCAGGUCAUUUUGAG